AAGUCGUAACAAGGUCUCCGUUGGUGAACCAGCGGAGGGAUCAUUACUGAGUACUACACUCUCUACCCUUUGUGAACUAUUAUACCUGUUGCUUCGGCGGCGCCCGCAAGGGUGCCCGCCGGUCUCAUCAGAAUCUCUGUUUUCGAACCCGACGAUACUUCUGAGUGUUCUUAGCGAACUGUCAAAACUUUUAACAACGGAUCUCUUGGCUCCAGCAUCGAUGAAGAACGCAGCGAAACGCGAUAUGUAAUGUGAAUUGCAGAAUUCAGUGAAUCAUCGAAUCUGUUGAACGCACAUGGCGCCUUCCAGUAUCCUGGGAGGCAUGCCUGUCCGAGCGUCGUUUUCAACCCUCGAGCCCCUGUGGCCCGGCGUUGGGGAUCUGCCACGGCAGGCCCCUAAAACCAGUGGCGGACCCGAAGGGCCCUCUCCUUUGCGCAGUAGCAUUCGCCUCGCAUCGGGAGUCCUCGGCGUCCUGCCUCUAAACCCCCCACAAGCCCGCUUCGGCGGCACCAAGGUUGACCUCGGAUCAGGUAGGAAUACCCGCUGAACUUAA
rnacentral:rRNA from 1 species